CGUUCCAUUCCAUCUGAUAGAUAGUGCACACAUUAAUGCUUUACCGUCUCUCACUCUCCUCUUGACUUUUGGUUUUCCUUCGUCUCUUCACUACCCUUCAAUCCUUCAUCAGUUUCUUAGCCACUAGAUCUUUCACAUUCUCUUCACUACCCCUUAUUAAUUUCUUUCACUUCUUUUCCUCAUUAAAGCACUCUUUUUUUUAGCACUGGAAGGAUUUGCAUCGAAGGUUCGGUGGAUGCAGCUUCAGAUUCUUACUAAUGAUACCAUUGGCACCGGAUUAUGUUGCUCCCAUCGGCGACGAAAUAGUUGUCGUCGUUGGUGAAGUCUUCAGCGUUACACGGCGUGCAUUGGGAUAGGAAGGGCGACAAGCUCCGAUCGACAUGCAUCGCCGAUCGUGCCUCUGAUUGGAAGCUCGCUCUGUGGCGCUACCUUUCAUACCGCUAUCAACAGCAGCUUAAUGAAGGAUGACUUCAAGCAUGGGAAUAUAAAAUCAGGGCAUUGCUGGUGGAAGCCUUCCAGUAACAAAAAUUAGAGAAAAUUGGUUGUUUAGAUUUCAGUGUUUGGACAAGCGAAUAUAUACCUGACUUUAUCACCACUGUUAUUCAUAUGGAUUUUUAAUAUUUUAACUAUUAAGGUACAAUUGUUUCGGUGCAAGGCAUUGAAUAACUCAUGAAAUUUCAUGUCAUGUCCAUCAAUAUCCAGUCAUGUGAUCUCAGAUUGCUGUUAAGUGAAUAUCAUGUGUGCAAUGAGCCGUGCAAAACGUGAUCUAGGAAAGGUUAUUAUGCCAAUACAAAGCUAUGGCGUGGAGCCUUUCAAUUUCUUGAAAGGUCCUACCUGCACAACCUUCUAAAGCAUUAGAAACCCCCAAUGAAUAAUUGAAUAUUGAUAUUUGUUCUUCUGAUAUUUGCAAAAUGGGUAUAUUGAACACCUACCCAUUGCAGUCAUUAAUAAGAGGAAUAAACAGAUUUCUUUCCCCAAUAAGAGGAAUUUUGUUGAAUAUACUCUUUCAAGAGUUGCUGCUUUUUGCUCUCUUGGUGAGUUUCGUUCACAGCCUCUCCUUCAGCAGUUGUGCAGCAGCCCCCUCAUUAUGCAGAGUUGCAGUAGUUCUGCUAUGGUAAGGUUCGAUGCUGGACUGUAAAGUUUAGCAGUUCCUUCACUGGCCGUGCGUGGGAGUGAAGGCUCAGUCUGAGCAAAAGGUUGCAAGCAGCACCUUAGGAAGAAAAGCGGAUUUAAAAUGAAAUGUUGCUUUCAAACUGUCUCCUUUACAAAGUAACAAAGAUGAGAUCUGCUUCAACCCUCAUUAUGAGCAACUCUUCUAGCUGGAAUUAGAACCACUGCAAGGCUAGAGAAGGGAUAUGAAAGAGUAAAUUAAGAGCGGUAAAGCAAGUGAACUGAGUGAGAGCACAAUUUCAGUUCUUUUAUAAUUAACUUUGUGUAAACAAAAAUUACACUUUCGGUGCAUAGACCUUUAAUCCCAUUGUUUGAGUACUGUUUACUAU